AACGCAGUAUAGUACUGCGUAUUAUUUUUAAAAAAAAAUUACUAAUUCGCAGUACUAUACUGCGUU
rnacentral:pre_miRNA from 1 species